CAAAACUAAAAGGCAACCUACAGAAUGGGAGAAGAUAUUUGUAAAUGACAUAUCUGGUAAAGAUGAAGAAACUGGGGCACUGAGAAGAUAUAGGUGACUUGCCUGAUGUCAGGGGUUAGUGGCAGAGCUGGGACUCAGAUGCCAAUCUGUACAGCGUUGGAGAUCAGACCACUAAGCUACCGUCUCAAAAUCCACAGCAUACGGAUCAGAAACAGCGAUGAAGUAGCCCUGCUUGCUGAGUUCAUCCACUGCCACUUUUUCAAGGCUCCAUUGAAAGACCUGGGUUCUUGAUGCACAUAGAUGCCAUGACCACACCCUGAUAAAUAUCAGUCUGACUGUAAGAACGGACUUAUGUUUUCUUCUCCAAGCCCACGCUCAACCCACCGCGGAAAGAACUGACCUAAGAUUCAGCAAGCCUGAGACUGAUUCUGCUUUGGGUGGUGAUACAGGCAGCAGAGAGGAAUCCAAACUGGUGAUGGCUCACAUGCUCUGCUUAUGUCCUGCACCUCACCACCCCUGGUACAGAGUGCUAGCAUUUCAGAAGUCCCUGUGAGACUCUAUCCUUCUGGAAGGCAAAAAUGGCAGAUGUUCUCUGUGCGGGAUGGAUUGCAACAAAGGCCAAACACUAAAGUGUGAGCCAGAGCAACUACAAUUAAAAUAAUAAAUCCUUGAUUUUGUAGGGUUUGUUCAGGCCUUAAAAAGGGAAUAUAUACGUAAUGCUAAAAUUACCAGCUUUAGGCCAUUCUCCCAAGAAUAGGAACCUGUCCUUUUUUUUUCCCGUGAAGAAUAAUAUAUGGCUCCAAUUUGGAUAUUGCGGAAAGGAGGAACCUCUGUUAACUCUGA